rnacentral:lncRNA from 1 species
GAUCUUAAGUAGUUUUGAAAGCAAAAAUUAUGGAAAGAUAAGUCAAAUUUUGAUUGGGGGAUUUUGUUUAAAAGCCCAUUCAAACAAUGUAUUUGGUUAAAUAAUCUCAUUUUAAUGUUUGUUGGUAUAAUAGCCUUCAAUUAGAAAAUACAAUAAACAAAUAAUAUCAAAAGUCCAAAAUGCACUCUCCAUGAAAAAGACUCAAAUACCCAUUUCAAUCCAUUUAAAUUUCUCAGUUCAUCCCCAAAAAUCAUCGUCUUGCUCUCCCUGUAGUACUGUAAAUUCUUGUUAUUUAUUACUUCACCCAUCUUCUUCAAUAUUUUGAGUAUUUGAACAAGAAUAUUGAUUUUUAUAUCAUUUACAUUGAAAUCUCUCCUAUAUUUGAAGAAAAAAGAAAUGUAUUUUUAGAAAUGUCAUGUACAUUGAUACUUUUAUUGUUGAAUAUAGUAUUAAAUGAUAUUUUAGUUGAUAUUUUGGUUGUCCGCAACUAUUGGACGAUAACGAUACUCUAGUCGUUAUCUGUAGUGUAGAAUGAUACUACAGUCGUUAUCAUCCAUGUAAAGCAACAGUAAAACCAUAAGUGUAAUAGGUGUUUGAAAAUUGGGCAUAACCAUAUCAUUUGUACGGAUCAUAUACCACUCAGUGAGAGACGUGAACGAUGAAAACAAAACGACACAUCUGUUAGUUUUUGUGGUUUAUGAUGUGCUAUUUUUGUUAUAUUGAUAAAUAAUGGUGGUGUUAUGAUAUUCUGCUUUUGUCAUUUUGAAAAGCAAACGAUUUAUAAU